rnacentral:rRNA from 1 species
AGUGAACGCUGGCGGUAGGCCUAACACAUGCAAGUCGAACGGCAGCACAGUAAGAGCUUGCUCUUACGGGUGGCGAGUGGCGGACGGGUGAGGAAUACAUCGGAAUCUACUUUUUCGUGGGGGAUAACGUAGGGAAACUUACGCUAAUACCGCAUACGCCCUACGGGUGAAAGCAGGGGAUCUUCGGACCUUGCGCGAUUGAAUGAGCCGAUGUCGGAUUAGCUAGUUGGCGGGGUAAAGGCCCACCAAGGCGACGAUCCGUAGCUGGUCUGAGAGGAUGAUCAGCCACCCUGGAACUGAGACACGGUCCAGACUCCUACGGGAGGCAGCAGUGGGGAAUAUUGGACAAUGGGCGCAAGCCUGAUCCAGCCAUACCGCGUGGGUGAAGAAGGCCUUCGGGUUGUAAAGCCCUUUUGUUGGGAAAGAAAAGCAGCAGGUUAAUACCCCGCUGUUCUGACGGUACCCAAAGAAUAAGCACCGGCUAACUUCGUG